rnacentral:rRNA from 1 species
GAUGAACGCUGGCGUCGUGCCUAAUACAUGCAAGUCGAGCGAACAGACGAGGAGCUUGCUCCUUUGACGUUAGCGGCGGACGGGUGAGUAACACGUAGGUAACCUACCUAUAAGACUGGGAUAACUUCGGGAAACCGGAGCUAAUACCGGAUAAUAUUUCGAACCGCAUGGUUCGAUAGUGAAAGAUGGCUUUGCUAUCACUUAUAGAUGGACCUGCGCCGUAUUAGCUAGUUGGUAAGGUAACGGCUUACCAAGGCAACGAUACGUAGCCGACCUGAGAGGGUGAUCGGCCACACUGGAACUGAGACACGGUCCAGACUCCUACGGGAGGCAGCAGUAGGGAAUCUUCCGCAAUGGGCGAAAGCCUGACGGAGCAACGCCGCGUGAGUGAUGAAGGUCUUCGGAUCGUAAAACUCUGUUAUUAGGGAAGAACAAACGUGUAAGUAACUGUGCACGUCUUGACGGUACCUAAUCAGAAAGCCACGGCUAACUACGUG